UGUCGCAUGGCUAACCCUGGUGCUGGGUUUGAGGCAUGAUAGUCACCUUAUUAUAUAGAAUAGAAAAGAAGCAUCGCACUCGAGGCAUAGCACCAAGAUGGUUGAAGUAAUAGAAGUAAUGCUCUCACCAAUAGAAAGCUAGUAAUCAUACCAUGCUUCUCUAAGACAUCAAACUUCUUGAAAAAUAAUUCUCCAACCAAUUUCCAGGCAUCGUUUUGCUUAUGUGAGAUCUACACUCUACACUUAUAUGUCUCAAGGCAAUCUGGACCAUUUGCCUCAAUAGAAGAUAUUCAGCCAUCUGUAGCAAAAUACUGACAGAAAAAAGCUCCAUAUCCCAAUUAAGACUUGAACUUAAAGUCCUUGCAAUCUACUUCGCUGUUGCCACCUCUCUUAUAUUUUUUCUCUUCAUUAAAUAUGUAACAAACUUAUGAAUGCCUUGCAAAUUGUUAACUUCAAUGAAAUGUGCAUUAUGGACAAAAUUCUCACAUGCUGCUUGGCAUCCUAUUAAUGUCAGACUCUGUAUUUCCAAUAUCACAAGAGUUAUUUUCUGAGAAUAGCAUCAUUCUGUCACAGUGCUCCAUUGUUGCAUUAUGUACUUGUUUUCGUCCGAUAUCAAAAGCUUAGACAUAUAAAGAAUUUAUAAAAUUUUUCUUCUCAAUAAUGUACACCUGAUUCAAAAUGCUAUCCUGCUCCACUCCUAUCCCAACUUCUAGACGUCUUCAAACCCCUUCUAAGCAACUAAUGUUGCUGCUGAAGUUAGUUUAAUUAACAUUACAUUAGAUAUUUCUUAUGUUUCUUCUUCUAACUACAAACAACAAGCUUAUAAUUGAAUAAGCAAACAAACAGUCUAAAUGAGUGGAUCAUAAUGUUUUAUAAAAGACAAUAUUACUACAAAAAGA
rnacentral:lncRNA from 1 species